GUUGCUCAAUGAAAGAAAAGAAAUUGCCCAAAAUCCAAGUUGACAAGAUAAUGCCAUUUACAAAUGGUGCACAAAACCCGCAGAGAUCAUCAACUUAGGGCACCAAGAUUUACACUUUAAUCAUCAGCAAUUUAUCUUACUGAUAACUCAAUCAACUUGGAUAUUUCUCACCAUUGACUUAAGAAAGCAGAGCAGACACUGUGCUGGGGACUUUGAGCAAUGCAGAGGAAUGGAGAAUGCCCCCCAAGAACUUAGAAGAGAUGGACAUUUGCAUUAUUCUCUGUAAUGACUGCACAGUGUGAUGAGGAAACU
rnacentral:lncRNA from 1 species